rnacentral:lncRNA from 1 species
CAUGCUGCAAGAUGCUCGGAGCUGCGUGAAGAUGCUAGUCUUCGAUAGGCUAGGCCUUCCCCCUCUAUUCUGGCAUUCUGCAGUUCAGUCCACAGAUACAAACCUUCCAUUUGAUACCAGUGCAUACUUAGUAUAGAUCUAAUGCUUGCGAGUACUUUGGAUGAGUACUCACGGUUGCUUUGCUACCCCUUUUCCCCCUUCCUUCUUCUUUCCGGUUGAUGCAGCCAGAUGGUGGAUCCCUGGAGCCAGAUGCCACCGUCGAUGGAUGCUGCUACGUGAAGACCGCCGAUGGCCAGGAGUAGUUAGGAGGUCCCAGGCAGGAGGCCUUGCCUCUUCGAUCGUUGUUGCUUUUGUGCUAGCCUUCUUAAGGCAUCCUUGUUUAACUUAUGUCUGUACUCAGAUAUUGUUGCUUCCGCUGACUCUUGUGUAUCGAGCUUGUAUUCGAUCCCUCGAGGCCCCUGGCUUGUAAUAUAAAGCUUGUAUUAUUUUAUUUGUGUCUACAGUUGUGUUGUGAUAUCUUCCCGUGAGUCCCUGAUCUUGAUCGUACACAUUUGCGUGUAUGAUUAGUGUACGAUUGAAUCGGGGGCGUCACAAGUUGGUAUCAGAGAAAACUCCUUGGGCUUUUGGCCCAUCUGGAAGGUGGGCAGGCCAGGCGGCCCACCCCACUUACCUCCUUCCCCGCUACAGGAACAGGAGGGGGGCCGUGGCAGCCAUCCACGGCGCCAUGGCCGCGGUGGCAGCCAUCGGCCGGCUCCCCCUCGCGUACAAGACCACGGCGCCUCUCCCCUCGAACCCUAGGACGCCCCUGCCUCACCCUCAUACCUCCUCGUGCCGCACCUCGCUUUCCCUCGACGCAUCUACUUGCCUGAAGCCUCGUCACCGCGCCGCCGUCGUCCUCGUGGCAACCGGCCUUCCCCCGCCAAGCUGACGCGUCCAGAAGCUUCACCACUGUCGCGCCCUUCGUCUACGCCGUUGGGUUGGACCGGGGAGGCCCCGUACGCUCGCCAUCGCCGUCGUCCGUCGCGUACAUCAUAGACCGCCAUCGACGAUUCCCACGGCUCCGGUCCACCCCAGGCUUCCUCGACCGUGCCGACGAGCUCUUAGUGAGCUCCUCCUCCAUUCCCCCUGCUUGCCCCCUCGAUUCGUUGCGGUAGCCUCCGUCCCCGAGCUUGCCGGAGCUCGCGCGUACGCGUACGUAUGUACGUGUGUUCUGCUGCUGCUCCUGCACUAUUAUUGCCGCCCGCUCCCCGCUGUGGCUUGCUGCGCUGUGGCUGCUACUGCUCCCGCGGCCACUUCCGCCUGCGUCCGCUCGCCGCUGCCCCGGCUCCGCCGCUCCUUGUGCGCGUGUGGCCGCGCCCCCGCUCCUGCUGCGUGCUGCUCUUGCUAUUGCCGCUAGCUGCGGCUCCUUGCUUGCUGCUAGCUGCUGCUACUGCCGCCUGCAAUCACCGGCUGCUGCUGCUGGUGACCACGGCCACGGCCAUGGCCAAGGCCGUGUGUGGUGUGUGUGUGUGUGCACAACCAGCCUCACAGCUGUGCCACCAAGCCGGCCCUUGUUUAGUUUAGUUGGUAAUACUUUAGUGCUCAAUUAGUAUAACAACAAAUGACAAUUGGUCCCCUCUGUUUAUUAGCUUUAAUUAGUUGUUCUAAAAAGGCUAAGUCUAUGACAAAUGGGCCCCGCUGUUAAUUAAGCAAGAUUUUCCUAAACUACUAGACUUAGAGUUAAUGACAUGCGGACCCACUUCUACUAUUCACUGGUUGACUAGUCUCUGUUGACCUGGUCAACUAGGCCUCUGGCCCCAUCUGUCAGCCACAUGUGCACAAUGUUGGGUACACUUCUGUGUACCCGUAGCAUUUACUGUUUAUUUUCGAAAUAAUAAUAAUUUUAGAAAAUCAAUUAAAACUUUGAAAAAUAAUAUAAAAUAAUCCAUAGCUCGGAUGAAAAUGUUUUAUACACGAAAGUUGCUCAGAACGACGAGCCGAAUCCGAACACGCGGUCCAUUCAUCCGACACACGUCCCUAGCAUAGCAAACAUGCAACCUUUCCCCUCCGGUUCAUCUGUCUGACAGACGUCCGGAACCGGGAAAACUUUCCCGGAUGUUUCCCCCUUCGCCAGUAUCGCCUAGCGCCGCAUUAGAACACCUCUAGCCCCGCUUAUAAUCAUGUUGUGCAUAUGUGUGCGUGUAUUUACUGUUUCUUCCCCCUCUUCUCUCUGGUAGACCCUGAGACCGCUGCUGAUGCCGCUGUGAUCGACUACGUCGACGACGACCCUCCUUCUUGUCUGAGCAACCAGGCAAGCCCCCCCCCCCUUGAUCAUCCCGAUAUCGCCCAUUCUAUAUUCUCAUGCUUGCAUUAGAUUUUGCUACUGUUAUUGUUUGCUCCUAUUCUAAUGCAUAGCCUGCUUUUGUAUCGGCUUUUGUUACCUACCUGCUUAUCCUAAACUGCUUAGUAUAGGUUGGUUAGUGAUCCAUCAGUGACCCCCACCUUGUCCUUGUUGCCCCUGCUUCAUCAUCGAUGCCUCGAUCGACGUGAGCCGUUCAGUCCACAUAUACAAACCUUCCAUUUGAUACCAGUGCAUACUUAGUAUAGAUCUGAUGCUUGCGAGUACUUUGGAUGAGUACUCACGGUUGCUUUGCUACCCCUUUCCCCCCUUCUUUCUUCUUUCCGGUUGAUGCAACCAGAUGGUGGAUCCUUGGAGCCAGAUGCCACCGCCGAUGGAUGCUACUACGUGGAGACCGCCGACGACCAGGAGUAGUUAGGAGGUCCCAGGCAGGAGGCCUUGCCUCUUCGAUCGUGUUGCUUUUGUGCUAGCCUUCUUAAGGCAAAACUUGGUUAACUUAUGUCUGUACUCAGAUAUUGUUGCUUCCGCUGACUCUUGUGUAUCGAGCUUGUAUUCGAGCCCUCGAGGCUCCUGGCUUGUAAUAUAAAGCUUGUAUUAUUUUAUUUGUGUCUAGAGUUGUGUUGUGAUAUCUUCCCGUGAG